rnacentral:rRNA from 2 species
CUUUCCGUAGGUGAACCUGCUGCUGGAUCAUUACC